GAUGAACGCUGGCGGCGUGCCUAAUACAUGCAAGUCGAGCGAACGGACGAGAAGCUUGCUUCUCUGAUGUUAGCGGCGGACGGGUGAGUAACACGUGGAUAACCUACCUAUAAGACUGGGAUAACUUCGGGAAACCGGAGCUAAUACCGGAUAAUAUUUUGAACCGCAUGGUUCAAAAGUGAAAGACGGUCUUGCUGUCACUUAUAGAUGGAUCCGCGCUGCAUUAGCUAGUUGGUAAGGUAACGGCUUACCAAGGCAACGAUGCAUAGCCGACCUGAGAGGGUGAUCCGCCACACUGGAACUGAGACACGGUCCAGACUCCUACGGGAGGCAGCAGUAGGGAAUAUUCCGCAAAGGGCGAAAGCCUGACGGAGCAACGCCGCGUGAGUGAUGAAGGUCUUCGGAUCGUAAAACUCUGUUAUUAGGGAAGAACAUAUGUGUAAGUAACUGUGCACAUCUUGACGGUACCUAAUCAGAAAGCCACGGCUAACUACGUG
rnacentral:rRNA from 1 species